rnacentral:rRNA from 1 species
CAGCGGAAGGAUCUUACUGAUUGUCAAACGGGUUGUUGCUGGCCCUCAUAGGGGGCAUGUGCACGCUCUGUUUACACAUCCACUCACACCUGUGCACCCUCUGUAGUUCUAUGGUCUGGGGGACCCUGUCUUCCUUCUGUGGUUCUACGUCUUUACACACACACUUGUAAUAAAGUUUUAUGGAAUGUACAUCGCGUCUAACGCAAUACAAUACAACUUUCAGCAACGGAUCUCUUGGCUCUCGCAUCGAUGAAGAACGCAAGCGAAAUGCGAUAAGUAAUGUGAAUUGCAGAAUUCAAGUGAAUCAUCGAAUCUUUGAACGCACCUUGCGCCCCUUGGCUAUUCCGAGGGGCAUGCCUGUUUGAGUAUCAUGAACACCUCAACUCUCAUGGUUUGCCAUGAUGAGUUGGACUCUGGGGGUUUUGCUGGCCUGUGGUCGGCUCCUCUCAAAUUAAUCAGCCUCCCAGUGUUUGGUGGCAUCACGGGUGUGAUAAAUAUCUACGCUCGCUGUUGUCUGCCAGGUAACCUUUGGUCACAAAGGUUUGCUGGAGCUCACAGAUGUCUCUCCUCAGCGAGGACAGCUUUUUUAACGUUCGAUCU